UACAGAGGGUGCAAGCGUUGUUCGGAAUUAUUGGGCGUAAAGAGCUCGUAGGCGGUCUGUCGCGUCGGCUGUGAAAACCCGGAGCUCAACUCCGGGCCUGCAGUCGAUACGGGCAGACUGGAGUUCGGCAGGGGAGACUGGAAUUCCUGGUGUAGCGGUGAAAUGCGCAGAUAUCAGGAGGAACACCGGUGGCGAAGGCGGGUCUCUGGGCAGUAACUGACGCUGAGGAGCGAAAGCGUGGGGAGCGAACAGG
rnacentral:rRNA from 1 species